rnacentral:rRNA from 1 species
UUUACCCAGUAGUUUGAUCAUGGCUCAGAUUGAACGCUGGCGGCAGGCCUAACACAUGCAAGUCGAACGGUAACAGGAAGCAGCUUGCUGCUUCGCUGACGAGUGGCGGACGGGUGAGUAAUGUCUGGGAAACUGCC